rnacentral:rRNA from 1 species
GACAGAGGGUGCGAACGUUGUUCGGAAUUACUGGGCGUAAAGCGCAUGUAGGCGGCAGCGCAAGUCGGGCGUGAAAUCCCACGGCUCAACCGUGGAAGUGCACUCGAAACUGCGCAGCUAGAGUCCUGGAGAGGAAGGUGGAAUGCUUGGUGUAGAGGUGAAAUUCGUAGAUAUCAAGCGGAACACCGGUGGCGAAGGCGGCCUUCUGGGCAGUUUUGCUGACACUGAGGCGCGACAGCGUGGGGAGCAAACAGG